GACGAACGCUGGCGGCGUGCUUAACACAUGCAAGUCGAACGGAAAGGCCCUGCUUUUGUGGGGUGCUCGAGUGGCGAACGGGUGAGUAACACGUGAGUAACCUGCCCUUGACUUUGGGAUAACUUCAGGAAACUGGGGCUAAUACCGGAUAGGAGCUCCUGCUGCAUGGUGGGGGUUGGAAAGUUUCGGCGGUUGGGUAUGGACUCGCGGCUUAUCAGCUUGUUGGUGGGGUAGUGGCUUACCAAGGCGUUGACGGGUAGCCGGCCUGAGAGGGUGAACGGCCACAUUGGGACUGAGAUACGGCCCAGACGCGUACGGGAGGCAGCAGUGGGGAAUAUUGCACAAUGGGAGGAAGCCUGAUGCAGAAACGCCGCGUGCGGGAUGACGGCCUUCGGGUUGUAAACCGCUUUCGCCUGUGACGAAGCGUGAGUGACGGUAAUGGGUAAAGAAGCACCGGCUAACUACGUG
rnacentral:rRNA from 1 species